GAGUUUGAUCGUGGCCAGGACGAACGCUGGCGGCGUGCCUAAUGCAUGCAAGUCGCACGGGAGGCUUCGGCCUCUAGUGGCGCACGGCUGAGGAACACGUGGGAAUGUACCCUCUAGUGGGGGAUAACGCGCCGAAAGGCACGCUAAGCCCGCAUACGCUCGCAAGAGGAAAGCAGUAAUGCGCUGGAGGAGCAGCCUGCGGCCCAUCGGGUCGUUGGUGGGGUAAUGGCCUACCAAGCCGCUGACGGGUAGCUGGUCUGAGAGGACAGACAGCCAGACUGGGACUGAGACACGGCCCAGACUCCUACGGGAGGCAGCAGCAAGGAAUUUUCGUCAAUGGGCGCAAGCCUGAACGAGCAACGCCGCGUGGAGGAUGACGGCUUUCGGGUUGUAAACUCCUUUGGGGGGACGAUAAUGACGGUACCCUCCGAAUCAGCCCCGGCUAACUCUGUGACAGCCGCCGCCGUAAU
rnacentral:rRNA from 1 species